rnacentral:rRNA from 1 species
UACGUAGGGUGCAAGCGUUGUCCGGAAUUAUUGGGCGUAAAGAGCUCGUAGGCGGUUUGUUGCGUCGGCUGUGAAAUCCCGAGGCUCAACCUCGGGUCUGCAGUCGAUACGAGCAAACUAGAGUGUUGCAGGGAGACUGGAAUUCCUGGUGUAGCGGUGAAAUGCGCAGAUAUCAGGAAGAACACCAACGGCGAAGGCAGCUCGCUGGGACGGUACUGACGCUGGAGAACGCGAAAGCGUGGGAGCGAACAGG